UACGUAGGGGGGCAAGCGUUGUCCGGAAUCAUUGGGCGUAAAGAGCGUGUAGGCGGUUCGGUAAGUCGGCUGUGAAAGUCCAGGGCUCAACCCUGGGAUGCCGGUCGAUACUGCCGGACUAGAGUUCGGAAGAGGCGAGUGGAAUUCCCGGUGUAGCGGUGAAAUGCGCAGAUAUCGGGAGGAACACCUAUGGCGAAGGCAGCUCGCUGGGACGUUACUGACGCUGAGACGCGAAAGCUGGGGAGCAAACAGG
rnacentral:rRNA from 1 species